UUUAUAAAUUACCCAGUCUCAGGUAGUAUCUUUAUAGCAGUGUGAGAAUGGACUAAUACAGCUGCUGUUGUUGUUGGUAUCAAAGCUAUUGAAUCUAAAGUCAGCCCUUUUCAUUGUUACUUGAUCUUUUAUUGAAGCUAUCAGCUUCUCCCUCAAUCACACCUCUGCUCUGGGGUUUAAGUAUUAUGAGUUCAUGAAGACGGGGCUAUAAAUCAACCCAAGUAAUAGAUGUUUCCCCUAUUGUAAAGCACUCUUACCUAACCAAAAUUAGCUCACUGUCUUUGAACUUCUAUUGAGCCCCAUGUCUCACCCAUUGGAUACUUGUUUUUCCAGUAGUUUUCUAAGUUAUGUGAGGCUCCCUACACAUAUCCAGACCCAUUUAAUUACUAUAGUGGAAAAGGUUUAGGCUGCUUAAACUAGGACCUCCUGUAAAUUAUAAAGAAUAUUUUAUGGUAAUGAAUUUGACCUUUUAAGCUGCAUUUAUCAUGAUAAGGGAAUGCCAUAUUUGUACUUUCUGCUUACUGUCUUUACUAAUCAAAUAACAGUAUAAUAAUUACUGCUAUUUAACAAAUAGAUAUUUGGGACCUACUGUGUACGUAUCUUUUACUCAACUCUGGAGCUAAUAAAAUGAUCAGUAAGAAGUUAUUUAUUCUUUCUAAAUAAGUAUCCAGUCUACUAAAGACACACAUAUCCAUUAAAAAUACACAGGAAUGAUAGGAGGAUGUCAUGACACAGUCAGUAAUGAGGUCACUAUUCUCAAAAUUCCAAAUUAUGACAUAGGCAUGAUAGCAUAUGCUGAUUUCAAAUUAUGUUCUCAUAUGUGGUGGUGUUUUGAGCCUUCUCCAUAUGUGUGUGGAGGCAGACAAUACAUGUGGAAAGAGACAUCAGCUAUUUCUGUAUCUUCCAAGCCUCUUAGUCCUAGAUGAAUUUAUGUAAAACGUUUGAUCCAAUAUGUGUCUUUCAGAUUGGAAUUUUAUUUAUUGAUCAAUCAAUAAAUCCCAACAUGUAUACUAAGAAUCAGCUGGUGGGUCUUCCACAGUGCUGGAUAUUAUGGGAAUGGAAGGGGAGACGAGAGGAAGGAAGACUAGAAUGUAUACAAUGUGAUCUGUACUCAGAGUUUGUAAUCUGAUUGGCACAUGUCUCAGACAUACGUUGCUUUCUUUCCGAGUGCUUAUUUCUCCUUCUUCCAGCACCCUGACAUUCCUUUGAAGGAUUCAUCCUGCCCCCAUUCUAAGCUAUGUGUAGUGGGAAGAUUCGAGGAUGCCACUGACUCACUAGAACCAUCUCUGGUCUCAGUGAUUGACUUAAUGAUGGAUGUAUGACCUAAAUCAGGACAAGAAACCAUCUCUGGUCUCAGUGAUUGACUUAAUGAUGGAUAUAUGACCUAAAUCAGGACAAGAAAUAAAUAAUCCCGGGACUAAGUGGAAGCUGUCAGAAAAGAUGCUGACUUCAAUGCAGGUGUCAUAUGGCAAUUGGAGAACCAGGGCUGAUGCAGCCAUGUUGCUACCAUGAGGGAAGGCAUGAUAUUUUGGAGGCCAUAGUAUGGAGCCUAAGAUGUAGCCUAUUCCAAGGAAGGAAGAACAGGAAAGCAUAGCAAAAUCAGAUCACUGAUAACAUUGUUUGAGGCACUAGAUAAAGCCUCGAAUUGAACCUAGUCAAUACUACAUCUGGAUUUUAAUUUGCUUGAGCUAAUUAUUCCCUUAAAAAUGAUUUUGAAUUGGUUCUACUGUUACUGACCACAAAAGAAGUUUUAACUGAUAAAAAGAAAAAAAAAUAUUCAGUGGUGUGACUUGUGGAAAAGAGCUCAGUAGCAAGAAAAUAGAAGGAAGUAGUAUCACUGAAAAUCACAGAUUAAUUUUAAUACGAUAGUGCAAGGAGGUGAAUAUAAUGUAGUGGAAAUACACUAAAGUAGAUUUGCUCUAUCGGUCCCUGGAAUUAUUGGACUGGAAUAGAAGUAAGGGCAGGGCUAGAGGUAUGGACCUAUGGGUAACUAUUAAGAUAACAGUUAAAUUCAUUAGAAAUGAACUCAUGAAUAAUAAACAGUAAACUGCAGUGGACUUAGAGGGGAAACUUUAUUGUUAGGGCAAAAUUGGUGGGUGAAACGAUAAGGAAGGCAAUAAUAAAGAAGGAAAGACCAAGUAAGGAACUGUCAAGGUUAUAAAAACCAAAGACAGAGAAACAUUUAUAAUGCCAAUUAAAAUUGAUAGAUCUAAUGCAUUUCUUUAAUGCUAAUGACUGUAAUCGUAAUUGACUUGGAAGAUGAAAACUGGAAAUUUUUCUCUGCCUUUAAAGGGCUUGGUAAUUAAUCAUAAAUAUGUAGAGACGAAGACUGCUGUUUGAUGCAUUUAUAAGAGUCUGUAGCUCAUCUCCCCUCACUUUGCACUGUUAACCUCAAAUUAUAUGAAAGGCUUAGCACCCUUGUAAGGAGCUCCUCAGGUGGACUAGAGACUCCGGAUGUGGUGGUUUCUGUCGAAUAAUCCUUAUGGUGGUCUAUUUUCUACAACAUUUGCUUUGAUCAUACUAAUAUGUUUGUUGGUCUUUUCCUCAUUAAAUUAUUUUCAGAAUCUUUUUCCCUUGAUGUUACAGACUUCUAAAUAUAAAUGCACACAAUUCCCUGAACCAAAUAGAAUGUUUUCAAAUUUAUAUGAUUUUUACUUAUAUAGAAAUAAGUGCUACAAAUAAGAAACCAUUAUUUCCUUAAUUUCAAAGGGCAAAUGCAUUCAGUGUUGCAGUCAACAUUUGACAAGUCUUUACCAACAUGUCUUAAGUUUAAGGAAGAGUCUCCCCGACUAAGAUGAAAGAAUACUGCUUAGCUUAAUGCUGUAGAAUGACAACAGUGAACAUGCCAUGCUCCUAGAGAUUAAUUAUUUAAUUCUCAUAACAAUUCUAUGUGCUGAUUUAUUAUUAUCUACAUUUUACAAGCAAGGGGUUGAAGUUCAGAUACGUUAAGUCACACAUAUAAUAAUAUUACAUUUUCUAAUGGCUGCCUAAAAUAGGUCAAAUACUUCCUUUCUGUUUUAAUAUGAGUCAUUGCUAGUAUUGUCUUUUGAAGGACCAUAAAACACAUACAAAUUUUAUGUUAUUAUACAUCUUAUAUACUCAUUUUGAGAGUGAUUAUAUUUGAAGUCUUUCUAAAAGAGAGAUCCAAAAUAUUGUAUCCUCUACCAGAAUGUAAUGUUAAUUUCCGAGGUGUUUUUAAAUCUUAUAUGGAAAAUUAACUUUAGUUUAAAAACUUAAAGGUAUGCAGAUUACAUGAACUUAAUUUACUUAUAAUUUAGGUAAGGUGAACACUAGAAAAAAUAUUUGUUUUAUUUUACCUAUCAGUUUGAUGUUGCUCAUUCACGUUUCUAAGUAGCAAAAAAUUCAAGUGAAAAUGAGAUUCGUCUAAUGACUAUGGCAAACAGGAAUGGUGAAAAAUGCUUGGAAUUGUAUACAUGUCAUACUCAUACAUAUCCUGCAACUUCUAAAGAGUUUUCAGGAAAGUUUCUGACUGUGACAUGCAUAACAGCAUUUAGUUAAACAUGUAACUUACCCCUACCCAUCAAAACAACUGUUUCUCCAGGUGUAGUUCUAGCUGACCAUUCUCAGUAUCUUUCAUGAAAUAAAAUAAUUUAGCAAUUUAAAUCAAGGGUUCAGAAUGCUGGAGAAGAGUUAUUUGUUAAUGGUCACUAAGAAUAUUUUUAAAAAUUUAAAAGGCAGAUUUUUAUCUUUCAUUAUCUUUACAAAGAAUACAUGUUUUUUCUUUAUUAAUAUUUAAUUAAAUAUCUUAGAAUAAAAUAACUAAAAGUGUAUAAUUGGACUGUUUGUAACACAAAGAUAAAUACCUAAGAGCAUGGAUACUUCAUUACUCUGAUGCGAUUAUUAUGCAUUGCAUUACUAUAUCAAAGUAUCUCAUGUACCCCCAGGUAAAUAUAUAUACCUGUUAUGUACUCAUAAAAUUAAAAACAAAUUUAAAAAGUGAUCAUUGCUCAUGAUAGAAUUUCUAAGAAAGGAUGGAGUUGGUAUCUGUCUGUGAUUUAUAGAAGUUUUUCUGGGAUGGUUAUCCGAAAAUAAACUCACUAAAGUUAUGCAGCAAUGAGCUUUACUGUAGAUGUAGUUUAUAAAAAAGUUUGUAAAAUCUCCCUUGACACUAUAGGAGGUAAUGAUAUAUGGCUCUUUCCUAGAGAGUUUUCUGAAAUUAUUUUUUGGAAUACAUAUAGUUUGUACUUGAGAGUAGAUGUUUAGAUUAUUUUCUUGGUGUAGUAGAUAGAUUGUUUUACAAGGUAAAAUAUAUUGAUGAUCUUAUUCAUGAUUUUCACAACCAGAUGCAAAAAGAGAAUUCACUUAAGGAUAUGUAAAGUUAGAAGAGGAUUAUUUGAUUUGAUCAAUUUGGUCUUAAAAAACUAAUGCACUCCAAAGCAAGUAAAUAUUAAUCUAAUCAACACUUUCUGUUGUAUAGAUCAUUUAAAAAUCUGGUUAAAUGUAACUUUAAAAACAUUUGUUUUACUUAAUUUUGUUUCCAUAAUAUGUCUAUACUUUUUGUGGAUGAUUGUUUUCUAGUCUGCAAUUCUAUUUGCAAAUCUGCUGAAAAUCUAUUCUCAGGCAAUGACAGAAGAGACUAUGAUCUUCUUUUAUUCGAAGGUGGAAAGUUGCCAUAAGUUUCCACAGCCACUGACCAAAGAACUUCCAUAUUUUGGAUUCUUAUCAAUAUGUAUGAUGACUGUUUGAUGGGAGAAUAUAUCAUGCUGUAAACACCUGGAAGAUAAGCUCUCAGAGGGCAGGAACAGCGUUUGUUUCAUACUGCUUUAUUCUGCAUGCUAACAUCAUGCUCUGCCUAUGACAAGUACUGAUUAAAUAUUGAUUGAAUGAGAGCAUGGUGGGUCAGAGGUGUGACUGUGUUAGCAGUGCUGUGUUUAGGUACAGGAGAAAAGCUUCUAGUGGACUUAGGCACUGAGAAGAACAGUCCUGACCUGGCCGCAGUUGUUGUGCAAAGGAUGUGGUGGCUUUAUUUGGCCUAAAGUUUUAUGUGUGCUUGCUCUGAAAUGUGGAUACGAAAAAGGUCCAGGGUGAUAGUAUUCUGUAUUAUAACAUCUAAGAAAGGAAUCUUACUUUGUUAGCUUCGUGCUCUUGCCAGCAUUUUCUGUUUCUGCCUUCUGUUUACUCCUUGCCCUUACUGUGUAAACAUGUUCAAGUUUCUCCAGCAUUAAAACUAAGUAACUUAUUUGACUUUUACCCACUACUUUUCUCUCUUUCCUCUCUCUCAUGUCCACAUUAUUAAGGAGGAUAAUUGGUAGUGGAUGUCUUCAAUUUCUCCUUUCUCAUUUCCGCUUAACCUCUUUGCAGUCUGGCAUUGCCACCACUGCUGCACUCAAAAUAGUUCCAUUGAAGCCUCUAAGGCUGAUAUUAUGAGGGUCAAAUGCAGAAGGUAUUUCUAAGAAAUUCUUGCUGCAUUUGAGGCUUCUCCUCACAUCCACUUCUCGAAACUCUAUUCUCUUGCUCCAGAGACUCCAGAGUUUCCUCUUUUCUAACUACCCAACCUCAUACACAUCACUCCUACUUUAUACUUUAGCUCUCCCCAAGGUUCUGCCCUCAGUUUUGAGCUCACUUCUGUUUUCGUGCACACAUGCCUCACAGAUAAUCCUUUCCACGGCAAGCAUUUUUAACACAACCUCUAUAAUAACUGUCUUUUCCUUUCUUUCCUACCUCCUACCCUUCCUUUUUCUAUUCCUUCCAUCCUCCUUUCUUUUGUUCCUUCCAAGAAUCCAUCUAUAAAAUUCUUGACAGAUACACAACAAAACAAUGGCUGUUUCCUAGUGGGAACCAAGAGAUUGUGUCUAGUUUCUUUUUAUAGUUUUAUUUAUUUUCUGAUUUAUUUUACAAUGAAUGUGAAUUAGCUUUAAAUUCAGAAGUAAAAAGCAAAGUUAUUUCCAACUAGGAACAACCAGAAAUAGUGAUUAUUCUCAAGAAUAAAUACCCUCUUGUAUAAAUAAAUAAAUACACUCUCCUGUAACCAUCUCACACACUUGACCUUACCCUCUGUGUUAAGUGAAGUGAAGGGCAGGAACCAUGUCUUAAUCACCUUUGUAGGUUGUUCAGUAUGGUGCUUGGGACUUAGUAAAUAUUCAUUAAGCAUACUGAUACCGUGAUAAGCUCACUACACUCUACAAUUAAAAUGACAUUCUAAAAUCUUGGGAGACGUGGGUGAAAACUCAAAGCAGAUGGGGCUUGGGCCAACAUUCUGGAGAGGAGAGUGCACCAUGGUGAUCUCAACAAUUGUUCUACUUUUUUCUCACAAAAAUCUGUCUAUUUUCAGCAAAGAGAAGAGAGCCUGAGGAGGAAGUAUAAAGUCAGACGCUUACAACAGACUUGCUGGAUUGGAGAGAGAGAGACUUUUACAGCCAGAGCUGCCAAGUAGAUCAGGACUUGGGGGUUUUGCUAUCCUUGAAUUUAAAUCAAUGACAAAAUAUCAAUGUCUUCAAUAAGCAUUAGAAAAGAAAUAAAAUUCUCAGGUAAGUUGAAAUUCAUCCUGUACUGAUAUUGUUUGACAAGUUAUUGUUCCUUAAUUCUGAAUGACACCAUUCCUAUACUUUGAGGAAGGUCAAUAUUAGUUUAAAUCUGAAUUUAUCUUUAGCUCAAGGGAAAUUUAUUUAAGCUUUUCAUGUAAUGAAUCUAAUAGAUUGGAAUCAUAUUUCAAGGAAUGGUCACUGGUUCCUUCAGUGUUCUAAAGUGUACAUUCAUUUCCACCAUGUCAAGUGCUUAAUUUAAAACACUUAUUGAUUCUUGAUUUUUGCUUGGAUGUGAGCUCAUUUAUUUUAAUGGAAUUGUUAAUAAAAUGUCAACUUUC